rnacentral:rRNA from 1 species
CCUACGGGUGGCUGCAGUGAGGAAUAUUGGUCAAUGGCCGGAAGGCUGAACCAGCAAAGCCGCGUGAAGGACGAAGGUGCCAAGCAUUGUAAACUUCUUUUGUAAAGGGAAAAAAUCAGACUCGAGAGCCUGACCGAGGGUACUUGAAGAAAGAGCAUCGGCUAACUCCGUGCCAGAAGCAGCGGGAAUACGGGGGAUGCGAGCGUUAUCCGGAUUUAUUGGGUUUAAAGGGUGCGUAGGCGGACGGUUAAGUGAGCGGUAAAGGCCCGGGGAUAAACCCCGGCGAGCCGUUGAAACUGGCUGUCUUGAGAUGUCGAGAGGUAUGCGGAAUGCGCAGUGUAGCGGUGAAAUGCUUAGAUAUUGCGCAGAACUCCGAUUGCGAAGGCAGCAUACCGGCGGCGAUCUGACGCUGAGGCACGAAAGCGUGGGUAUCGAACAGGAUUAGAUACCCGAGUAGUC